GAUGGAAGAGGGACAGAGAAAGUUGAGUGGGAAUGACUCCAAGGACCCUUUGAAGAUUAUUGAUAUACUCAUUGUCUUAUGUUGAUGGUUCAUCAUAUUACAUAUGUGAAAAUGAAUCAAAUUGUAUGCUUUUAAGUCUUAGGACAUACAGAACUCUACAGCCUCAGAGUUGAGAGUGCCAAACUCUCAGAGCUCUCAGUUGUGACAAAACAUAACCUGGGAUGUUCAAGGCUAGGCUCCAUUACCAGCUGAGUGACUCACCAGCUCAUGCAGAAUACAUGAGAUUCAAAUUUGUGGCCGAGCAAAACUUCAAAUAACUCCAAAUUAUGAUUCCAGGGCUGCUUGGGAAUUGUUCAUCCUGUCUUUCAGCAUUUGCACAGUAUUUAUUCAACAAAUUAUAAUAUCAGAGCUAGUAAUGAAUACGAAGCCUCUCAACUUCUUGUUCUAUAAUUCUGCUGGGUUGUAUAAAAUCAUGGACCUCAAGAUCCUAUGACAUUA